CAAAGUAUAGCUAGUUUUAGAAAGUAUCUCUUUUACGAAGAGAAGAGGUUUGUGCAAUUCAAACUAUUUUGA
rnacentral:tRNA from 1 species